CUGUCACCUCCUUGAGGGCAGAUCCACAGCUUCCUUCUCUGCAGCCCCGUCCACAGCAUCUGUUGUUUCUGAUGGGACUUCGCGGGCACCUGCAGGAAGGGCGGCUGCUGUGGAUGGUACGUGCUGGACGCCAGGCCAACCCUUUGCACAUGUGAUCUCAUCGACUCUCACAUCGACCGUGGAAGGUGGACAAACUGAGGCUCAGCACUGAGGUCGGCUGCCAAAGACACACAGCAGCUAAACAGUGGAGCCAGGACAUGGAGCCAGGACAUGAACCCAGGGCCUGUGGCUCCGGAGCCUGCAUUCCCAACCACCCUCCCGGACGGCGCUUCCCAGCUGAAGGCGAGGGCCACAGGCCUGCAGCAGCCGUGAACGCCCACCUGAGGCCCUCCUGGCUGUGGGGCUUCAUGUGCACCAUUGUGAGGGCGCUGAGGCUCGCCGGGGGUCAAUAGACUGCCCAAGGUCACCCGGAGAGAGAGCACGGAGGCUGGAAUUUGCAUCCAGGCCCUUGACUCUGAAGUCUUUGAAGCACACCCACGAUGCCAGGACGUCAUGUUCCACCUGGACGGUACUUGCCCUGUUGGCCGCCCACAUGUGGCUAAGCUACACGCAGGCGUAGGAGGGGGCUGGCCGGCACAGAAUUCAGUGUCCCAGAAAGGGCCUGAUCCCAAGGGCCUUCAGUCUGUCAACAGCUAUUUAUCAAACACCUAAUGUGUACAUUGCCCUGCAGAUGCACCAAUGAUCAGGAAACACACAGUGGGCCCACACGGGGCUUUCAGGUGCAGGUGACAGAUCUCGUGGAGGACGGCGCAAGCAAGCUGACAGUCACUGGCGGCUAUUG
rnacentral:lncRNA from 1 species